rnacentral:rRNA from 1 species
AGUGAACGCUGGCGGUAGGCCUAACACAUGCAAGUCGAACGGCAGCACAGUAAGAGCUUGCUCUUACGGGUGGCGAGUGGCGGACGGGUGAGGAAUACAUCGGAAUCUACUUUUUCGGGGGGGAUAACGUAGGGAAACUUACGCUAAUACAGCAUACGACCUACGGGUGAAAGCAGGGGAUCUUCGGACCUUGCGCGAUUGAAUGAGCCGAUGUCGGAUUAGCUAGUUGGCGGGGUAAAGGCCCACCAAGGCGACGAUCCGUAGCUGGUCUGAGAGGAUGAUCAGCCACACUGGAACUGAGACACGGUCCAGACUCCUACGGGAGGCAGCAGUGGGGAAUAUUGGACAAUGGGCGCAAGCCUGAUCCAGCCAUACCGCGUGGGUGAAGAAGGCCUUCGGGUUGUAAAGCCCUUUUGUUGGGAAAGAAAAGCAGCAGGUUAAUACCCCGCUGUUCUGACGGUACCCAAAGAAUAAGCACCGGCUAACUUCGUG